rnacentral:lncRNA from 1 species
CACGCGGUCCCCGGCCAGGGAGCGCCCGGCCCCGCUGGGUUUUGUUUCUAACUCCGCCUCGGCACUUCUCUCGCCACCCUCCCCGCUAGCUCCCUCCCUAGCCCCGUCGCAGCCCCUGCGCUAGCCGGCAGUCCCCUCCCACGGCCGCGUUCAUUUCAUACCAACUCUCAUUCCUCGCAUUCCUCACUUCCUCCUUUCAAACUCCAGGGGAAAUAAAAACCCUCCCUUUUCCUUCCGAACUCCUGCCCGACCGCGGCCGCCGCUGCCGCCGCCCGGGUUCGCCGUCCCGCCGUCCGCUCCCGCGCUCCUCAGAAAGUCCUGGAGCAGAAGGAGGAGUUGGAGCGGGUCUCCGCUGCCCCUACGGAACAACAGCCGCUCUCGCCUUGCUCAGGUAAACUGGAGGCUUUUGAGUCUGGUGAGAUAUUUCAGAACUGCUGGCUUUCAGUUGGUAAGGAGCAAGUCUUUUUUAGGCUGACAUUAAAGGUUCC